rnacentral:lncRNA from 1 species
ACAGCCAAACCUCCAAUCAGUGCUGUAGUUAGACCUAGCACUGAGUUUCCUUCUCUUGACUCUGGGCCCUUUGCAAGGAUCUGAAGCAAGAGAGCCCUGCCCUCCUCAUCCUCUGAUCCUUCAGAGUCUAUCAUAGAGUUUCUAUCUGAUGAGGAGUAGUUCUUUUAGAUCUAGAAUUUCUUUUGUUGUCUCUUAUCUUUAAUAUUUUGCUCUAUUAUGUAGUGUGAUGAAAAAUGUUGUAUUAUUUGUAAGAUAACUUUUUGUAAAAAUAUAGACUUGAAAUGGAUGCUAUCUAUCAAUGAAUG